UCGGGAAUUUUGGGCAAUGGGCGAAAGCCUGACCCAGCAACGCCGCGUGAAGGAUGAAAUCCCUCGGGAUGUAAACUUCGCAAGAUUGGGAAGAAUUAGUAGGGGUUAAUACCCCCUAUGAUGACGGUACCUUUUGUAAGCUCCGGCUAACUCCGUGCCAGCAGCCGCGGUAAUACGGGGGGAGCAAGCGUUGUUCGGAUUUACUGGGCGUAAAGGGCGCGUAGGCGGUCAGCACAAGUCAGUUGUGAAAUCUCCGGGCUUAACUCGGAAAGGUCAACUGAUACUGUGCGACUAGAGUGCAGAAGGGGCAACUGGAAUUCUCGGUGUAGCGGUGAAAUGCGUAGAUAUCGAGAGGAACACCCGCGGCGAAGGCGGGUUGCUGGGCUGACACUGACGCUAAGGCGCGAAAGCCAGGGGAGCGAACGGGAUUAGAUACCCCGGUAGUCCUGGCCUUAAACGAUGGAUGCUUGGUGUCUGGAGUUAUAUAGUCUCCGGGUGCCGCAGCUAACGCGUUAAGCAUCCCGCCUGGGGAGUACGGUCGCAAGACUGA
rnacentral:rRNA from 1 species